CCAAACAAAUAAAUACUUCUGAAACAUUGAAUUUAUGUUGAUAUGGUUGAGUAUUGGAUGGAGUCUGACUUAGCUGCUAUGCUACCUCUACUUUCAGAUCCUUAGCUGCUAGAAAUCCAGUCCAGUGAGAAUGUCUGCAAAGGCUACCAUUGAAAAGUUGGAGCCUGAAUGUCAGCUUUCAUCUUGACUGAACACAUGGCAAGACCAAGCUAGAGCACCCUGCUCUGCCAAAACAUGCCAAAGCACAAGUAGAACACCCCUGCCCACCACCACUGGCAGCUGCCAAGCACGCGUCGCCUUUGAAGCCGGUAUGUGAGGAGAUACCUGCAAAAUACAGAAAGAGAACAAGAGAAGAUUUAAUUCCUUGCAGAUUUCACGUGAGUGAUCCUCGUUAGUGCAAACAAGUCACUGCAACAAAGCAGCACAACAAACAGACUCUUAGCUUCUCUUUGGACUGGCUGCUUCUGCACUUAGGGAUGGGGUGUACCCCACAGCCAGCCCCAGGGUCACCUGGAGCUGUGCAAUCACAGCACAUUUCCACUCCCCUCUGCCUAUGUGUCUCUGUUUCUUUUAUCUUUUCCAUGGGCAUGGCUUGCAAAUGAGGCCAGGGAAGCACACCCAGGUUUUCCACACCUGGGUGGAAAUUAUAUCAGGCACAGACUCUGGUGGGAUGCUUU
rnacentral:lncRNA from 1 species